rnacentral:misc_RNA from 1 species
GAAAUGCGAUAAGUAAUGUGAAUUGCAGAAUUCAGUGAAUCAUCGAAUCUUUGAACGCACCUUGCGCUCCUUGGUAUUCCGAGGAGCAUGCCUGUUUGAGUGUCAUUUGACUUAUCAACCACAUCAGAUGUUUUGAUGUGGCUUGGACAUGGGGGUUUUUUUUGCAGGCCUUUUCUUCUACAGAAGAAAGGUCAGCUCCCCUGAAAUGUAUUAGUGGUAUCUGAGCUACUGCUAUAGGUGUGAUAAUUAUCUAUGCCUUUGGUAUGCUGCAUGAACAGAUUGCGCUGCUUAUAACAACAAAACAAUUGUAUUUGACAAAUCUGACCUCAAAUCAGGUAGGACUACCCGCUGAACUUAA